UACGUAGGUGGCAAGCGUUGUCCGGAAUUAUUGGGCGUAAAGCGCGCGCAGGCGGUCCCUUAAGUCUGAUGUGAAAGCCCACGGCUCAACCGUGGAGGGCCAUUGGAAACUGGCAGGCUAGAGUGUAGAAGAGGGGUGUGGAAUUUCCGGUGUAGCGGUGAAAUGCGUAGAGAUCGGAAGGAACACCAGUGGCGAAGGCGACACCCUGGACUGAUACUGACACUGAGGUGCGAAAGCGUGGGGAGCAAACAGG
rnacentral:misc_RNA from 1 species